UUAAUCACUUUUUUGACGCGUCGCGUCAAGGUUCGCGAAUUGAAUAACAAUCAGUAAGUGUCAAUAAUUUUGUCUUUAUUCGACCAAAGUAUGCCGCGAAUGUAUUAAUUGGGAGUAAAACAACGGGUAUCUCGAUUAAUUGCGUGUGGCCGAUAACAUUCUUCCGCGAUCGGUUUGUGUUAGUGCCUGAAGCAACAGAGAGAUCGGCAGAAAGAUGACAAGGACGACUCAUCUGCUGGACACUUUCAAUGGAAUUUCGACCGCUUCGAGAUCGUCCAAUCGUAUCACCGCAGCUGAGUAACUCCGUUCGUUGCGCAUCGGGUCGGUGAGUCGUAAAUCAAUUUUUUUUAUUAUAUUAUGCUU
rnacentral:lncRNA from 13 species